GGAAUGUGGCUCCAGUUCGGGAGGCGUUACCUGCGGAGGGUUUGAGGAAGGCCCAGGAGCGAGCCCAUGGUCUUCCGACGCGGGGCCAGGGGCGGGCCCCAGGAUCCGGAGCUUCGGGGGGGCCGAGUCCGGGUUUGGGGCCCGGGAGGCGGGGCCAGUUAGGUCGAGGGUCCCUGGGAUCGUCGGGUCAGGCCUUGGGCUAACGUAGGCACUCUCGCAGUUCCUCCGCCUUCAGGAAGGUCUUUUUAGCAGGGGCCUUACGGGUGCAUGCUUCGGUCCUGGAGGACUUAGGCUAGCCUCCUCUCCAUCAGCGCCACCCGUCUGGGGCCCGAAAGGAGGGAGCUUUCCCUCUGUCCCCCAGCCUUUGGACUGUCACCAAACAAGCCAUUCGUUCACCAAAUACUUUUUAAGCGCCUACCAUGUGCCUGACAAGGGAUAUGUAACGGUGAGAAAAACUAGGUGUGGUCCAGGCCCUUCAGGGACUCAGGGGCUCGUGGAAGAAGUGGAUAUUGAAGUACUUAUCACACAAAGGAGGAUAAAAGUACGAUAGCGAUAUCUACCACGAAGCUGUUGUUCCACACCAGAACCAAAUGAGCGCAAGAUCUGACAAAAAAAAAAGGUUCAUCUUUUAUUCUUCCAAACACUUUCAUUUAAAUCAAGAGGAUGGGAUGUGGUUAUUACUGUGUUUUUAGACAAAAUCAAUGGUUUCUGGCUCUGAGAUGUUGCAUACACCCUCUCAGUCCCUGUAUCCUGAGAUGGAGUCACCUGAGAAUCCACAGCAAGUCCUAACCAGGGAUGGGUCUGGGUGAUUAAGGAAGAUUGGCUUCAGAACUGGGCCAGGGGCACUGCUUUGCUUUUGCUGUUUUGAUCAGCUCUCUGCCUGCAGGAGACGAGGAAAACCAAUGGGAACAGACCAACAGAUAUUCUAGUAUAUAAGAAAUGUGAUGCUCUCUGUACAUUGAAGAGUUGGGCUAAUAUUUGUCCUGGUGGAUACAGAAAUUGCCUGUCUGCUCCGCUCUGGUUGAAGAAACCAGUCCGACUGUCUCUGAGGCUAUGGAGCAGUCCAUGAAGAAUGAAAGCCCUCUGCCAGGCAUGUUGGCUCACACCUGUAAUACCAGCACUUUGGGAGGCCGAGGCAGGUGGAUCACUUGAAGUCAGGAGUUCGACACCAGCAUGGUCAACAUGGUGAAACCCUGUCUCUACAAAAAAUAGAAAAAUUAGCUGGGCCUGGUGAUGCGUGCCUGUA
rnacentral:lncRNA from 1 species